rnacentral:lncRNA from 10 species
AGGACCCUGCUGCCUCUGACCGCACCCCAAGCCUUCUCUGCUGCUCACAUGGGCUCCUCUCUCCUUUGUGCUUUUUGCCUUCUGUCCCCACUGCCUGGAAAACGUUCCCCUCACAUUUUGCAUGGCUGCUGCCUUCUCAUCACAGAGGUCUCAGGUCAACCAUCACUACCCCCAGGAGGCCUUCCUUGACUGCCCUAUCUCCUGUCACUGGCCUCCACUACCAGUCACUGCCAUGUUCACUUCCUUUUGUUGUCAUCUAGCACCUGUCCCUGUCUGAAUUGUAUCAUUUAUCUGUUAUUAUUUGUUUAUUCUGUUCCUGCCUGUCUCCCUGAGGCCAGGGACCUUGUCUGUCUUUAUUACUAUGCUGACCCUGGUGCUCAGCACUUAAUAAAGAAUCAUUAAAACAAAAUGAAUGAAGGACACUAAAGGCUGUCAUAGAAGUUACUUGGACAACACCACCCACCCCUGGGGGGUGGGGUGGUGGGAACUUGCUUGGUGAUGGCAACAAACAAACAAACACUUUCCCCUUCCCACUUCUCUUCCGGUAUUCCAGACAGGAGGAAUAAUGUACUGAUCUGCUGACAUUAAGAAGGACCCUAUUUUCAGAUUACUUCUUCAAAGGAGCAGCAUCUACAUUGGCAAGGCUGCCCUCUGGUGGUCGAACAUGUAGGAGCGAAUGGGAAGGAUGGAAACCCCAGUAGCCAGGAACCAGCCCAGCUGGCUGAGCCAACCACGCUCAAGAGACUGGCCAGCGAGCCAGGGAGUAGGUUGGAGCUGUCUCCACACCUUGCUCCAUCCCUCUCAAGAUGAGGGGAUUCUAACCAGCUCUCCACCUGCACUAGGCCCAAACCAGAGGAAAUAACAUAAACCAGGACUCCUUGGAAAAGCCCUCGGAUGCCUCAGUGCCCCUCCCUGGAGUUUUGUCCUGUGCAGUGGCCGUCCAUCUUGCAUCCUUUAGAAGAAGCCUCUUGAAAGCGAGAACCAACAGGCCCAGGAAUCCCUGGAUCCACCUCACCUCCACUUGGCAUAAGGCAUAAAGAAGCUAAAAGCACACAAACAACCCUGUAAACAGCAUCAGUGCCAUGGAGAGUAGAUUUAAGACUGUCCUGCCCAGAGGCCAGCUGAUCACACAGCUGUCACUGCUGGGACAUCCUGAAGAUGCUGGCAGAUCAUACCUUCCCCUCCCAGCUUCCCAGACGUUUUUGGAGAACAAAUAAAAACAGGUCCCUUCCACCAUCUAAAUACUUCAAGGAAGGGACUUCUAGAGACUUCGGGCUAUUUCCCUUUGACAGCUGGAGGGACUGAGAGCCAACAGGAAAGAGCUAACACGGGGGGCACUAACACAGUGUUGGUGACUGUCCUAGUGGCAGGGUGGCUGCAUAUGCCUGCCCCCACUCCUCUUUUCCCAGGGCAUUACAUACUCAGCCCUUUGAAGUCUUCGGCCCUGAUACGGCUGAUGCGGUUGAAGCGUGCAUACAG